rnacentral:rRNA from 1 species
UACGGAGGGCGCAAGCGUUGUUCGGAAUUACUGGGCGUAAAGCGCGUGUAGGCGGCCUGACAAGUCGAAUGUGAAAUCCCGGAGCUCAACUCCGGAACUGCAUACGAUACUGUUAGGCUCGAGUCUCGGAGAGGAUGGCGGAAUUUCCGGUGUAGAGGUGAAAUUCGUAGAUAUCGGAAGGAACACCAGUGGCGAAGGCGGCCGUCUGGACGAUGACUGACGCUGAGAAGCGAAAGCGUGGGGAGCAAACAGG